UUUCCUCUUAAGGUAACAUUUAAUAAUUUUGAUUUUUUUUUCCCCUUAAGGUAACAUUUAAGGAAAUAUAUUAAAAAAGAUUUUUGGGAUCAUUUCGGAUUACUAAAUUUACCAUUUUUGGAACGGAAGUGUACCAUGUUUCGGAGCAAGCAUGCAUACCAAUACGUAAUUUGCUUGGGUAUUAGCGUUUUCUGGUAACACAUAGCUGUUGACAUUAUCAAGUUAUGUAAAUUUGUGAUGUACAGAACACACAACCUUGUUCUUUGGUAGUGAAUUAGUUGUAUUUGUGCUUUCUUAUCUUGUACAUUUCAUUUUGAAGUUUUCAAUUGUAUUUGUACUUUUGCUUUCAGAUCUUUGGACCUCUCCAGGAUGAAAGCCAGGUCAAGAGCAUUGUGGUUGAGAUAAAAUAGGUGAUCACAGCCAGCUCAAGUAGAAAAGGAGAGAGUAGAUAGGGCCAAAGCUGAAGACUUCAAUGCUAAGGAUGGGGAAAUACUAAGAGAGGAAAAUGAGCAAGAGGAAGAAGUUUUUGAUCAAGUUUGUCUUCCACUAAUCAUUUUUUAGUGUCAUGGAUUACAUGUUCAUCUUUUUAUUAUAUGGUUCUAAUAAAAUUUAAUUUCAUUUUUUGCCUCACAAAUGGAUUUCCUGAUUCAGGUAAGUGAAAUCUUGGGAACUUUGAUAAAACAUUUAAGGCCUCUUUCUUGCCCUUCUUUAAUGACCUGUCAUCAUAUAUUACGCCUAUGUGGGGGAAGGAUAAAACAGAUGAGGAGAGAAGGAUAGCAAUUUGCAUCUUUGAUGAUGUUGCAGAGCAGUGUCAUGAAGCAGCUCUGAAGUAAAUGUUCCUUUCAAAACAUUUAUGUAGAUGCAUUGAUUGCUAUUGUGGCCAUUUAUCCAAUAUAAUUUGAACAUGUGUUGAACAAGUAUUAUGAUACAUAUCUUCCUUUCUUUUUGGAAGCUUGCAAUGACAUGAACCUAGAUGUCUGGCAGGCUACUGUAUAUGGACUUGGCAUUUGUGCAGAAAUUUGGUGGUUCUAUUUUUAAACCUCUUGUUUAGGCUACUGUAUAUGGACUUGGCAUUUGUGCAGAAUUUGGUGGUUCUGUUUUUAAACCUCUUGUUUUAGGUAUAAUCUGCUUCCACAUUUUGGGAGUUGGUUUCCUUCAUAUUUCCUUUGAAUUGAUAGUUGUUCUUUAUACCUUGUUCAAAGGCUUUUUCAACGUUAAAUGUUGUGAUAAGGGACCCUAAUGCCUUGUAACCUGAAAACAUAAUGGCAUAUGAUAAUGUUGUUUCUGCUAUGGGAAAAAUAUGUCAGUUCCAUCGUGAGAGUAUAGGUUCAGCUCAGGUAAUUCCUCUUUCUUUAUUGUUCACAAGCCUAUUCAAGCAUAAAUAAUUUUGCAAAAUGUGGAUUCUUUGAUUCUUUUGGUUCACCUUGAAACUUGAAUAUAUUGCACAGGAUGACUUUUAGUUAUCUUAGGGUGUGUUGUGCGCUGCCUUGCACCUUUUAAACUAACAAGGUCUUGACUCUUGAUAUGUGAUUUGUUAGGCAUUUAUUAAUUAGUAUGUGUAUCCUAAAUAUUUAAUGAAAUACUAGAGCUCUGAAAUGGAUUAUUUAUAUACUUGUGUUCCCAUAUACUUACUUUGUGCAAGAAAACAAAAUGAUAAGUGAUAAUCAGUUGGUAACUCGUGCACAAUUUGCUUAUGCUUUUUCUUUAGUGGAUGCUUCUUUAAUAGGGGGGGGGGAUUUUUUUUGUUUGUAGUGGCAGUUUCAUUAAUUAGUUAAGUUUCUUUCAUUUGGGAAUGGUCUCACAUUUUUCACCUUUCAUGAUUUCUUGGUUUAAGGGAGCAUUACUUGAUUCUUGUAGAGUCAUUAUUGUGUAUGAUCUUUUACAAAUAUUUACUUAUAGUUGAUGCUCCUGAAAUGGUUGAGUUUUUUUUUUUUUUAAACCUUAGUUCUUAUAAAUACCUGUA